CCUACGGGAGGCAGCAGUGAGGAAUAUUGGUCAAUGGACGAGCGUCUGAACCAGCCAAGUAGCGUGAAGGAUGACUGCCCUAUGGGUUGUAAACUUCUUUUAUAUGGGAAUAAAACGUUCCACGUGUGGGAUUUUGUAUGUACCAUAUGUAUAAGGAUCGGCUAACUCCGUGCCAGCAGCCGCGGUAAUACGGAGGAUCCGAGCGUUAUCCGGAUUUAUUGGGUUUAAAGGGAGCGUAGGUGGAUUGUUAAGUCAGUUGUGAAAGUUUGCGGCUCAACCGUAAAAUUGCAGUUGAAACUGGCAGUCUUGAGUACAGUAGAGGUGGGCGGAAUUCGUGGUGUAGCGGUGAAAUGCUUAGAUAUCACGAAGAACUCCGAUUGCGAAGGCAGUUCACUGGACUGCAACUGACACUGAGGCUCGAAAGUGUGGGUAUCAAACAGGAUUAGAUACCCGGGUAGUC
rnacentral:rRNA from 1 species